UACAGAGGUCUCAAGCGUUGUUCGGAUUCAUUGGGCGUAAAGGGUGCGUAGGCGGCGCGGUAAGUCGGGUGUGAAAUCUCGGAGCUUAACUCCGAAACUGCAUUCGAUACUGCCGUGCUUGAGGACUGGAGAGGAGACUGGAAUUCAUGGUGUAGCAGUGAAAUGCGUAGAGAUCAUGAGGAAGACCAGUGGCGAAGGCGGGUCUCUGGACAGUUCCUGACACUGAGACACGAAGGUCAGGGGAGCAAACGGG
rnacentral:rRNA from 1 species